rnacentral:rRNA from 1 species
CGUUCGUAGUUGAAUUUGUGCUUCAUACGGGUAGUACAACUACAAUUGUGGAUUGUACAUUACCUUAUGUAUGCAAGCGUAUAACCGGUGGAGUUCUAAUAUAUAAUGGUACUUGUAUCAUUAUGUAUACCUCCUAUUUAAACCUGCUUCAGUGCUCUUUACCGAGUGCUGUUGUGGGCCGGCUCUAUUACUUUGAACAAAUUAGAGUGCUUAAAGCAGGCUCCAAAUGCCUGAAUAUUUUGUGCAUGGAAUAAUGAAAUAAGACUUCUGAUCUAUCUUCAUUGGUUUUUAGAUCAAGAGGUAAUGAUUAAUAGAAGCAGUUUGGGGGCAUUAGUAUUACGACGCGAGAGGU